AAGAUGAUGGUUCCUCCAGGAACGUACCGUUCGCGGGGAAUCCUCAGGAAAGCCGUGCGUCGCGCAGCAGCAGCAGCAGCAGAGUGCAGAGCGACAGAGCAAUCGCCCCCUCUUUGUGACGCGGAACAAACGGUUGUGAUAUAGGCGCGCAGCCAGAGAAAACGCGCUCGGAGGCUGUCCCGCCGCUUCUCACAGGUGUACAGACACCGUCGCAAAACCCCGUCACACUUUCUGCCUGGCCGGGUUUUUGUCACUCAGAUAACCGCACAUGUUUUACGCUGUGUUUAGCAGGCCGAAAAACCCGCUGGGGGAACGGGGGUCGGGAAUGGAAAGAGCGAAACCCAUUCAAGCAAUUCUAUCGCGGCCACCCCGCCUUACGUGACCCUGUGCAAGUUCCCCGACAUUCCAGUGGGGCGGCCUGCAGAGAAAUCGUGGUUUGAACGGAAAGGUGGCUUUUUAUUGAGGUGGUUUAGAUGGAAACGCAGAGAUAAAACGCAGCUGGGGCAGACAUUCGACUGAUAUCGGAUUGCCCCGCCUAGCGCCAGGUAGUGCUGGACACUCAAUCCGUGAGGGUGAACACUGUAGUGCUGCUGAAUCUAUUUACACGGUUUUAGUACUCAAGAGUUGCACUGGCAGUCUUUUAGUAGUACGGGCGGACGCGUCACGCGAGAAAGAGCGGUCUAGUCCCAUACUGAAGGAACGGCAUUCGAAACCCUCACGAAGGCGGAUCGAUACACGUCAGAAAGAACUCAUGGAUGCACACACGUGUAUAUGUGUAGGUUUUGAUUCAAAUAUAUGUAUAUAUCUAUGUAGAUAGGUAGAUAUAUGUGUAGGUACAUGCCACUUCAGUAGGCUGGUACUGGAACACAUACGAUAGAUAGGUCAAAAUGUAGAUCUGUGUACGCCUG
rnacentral:lncRNA from 1 species